rnacentral:lncRNA from 1 species
AGAAGACACCUACCUCCCCUACCCUUCCUGAAACGAGCGAGCAUCCAAGUCUUUAGUCGUGGUCACCACCCCAAAAAUCCAGAAGCUCCAAUCUCCUUAAUCACUUACUGCUACUGCAAUCGAAAGAAUUCCACAUUUUUACUAUCCAAAGCUGUAGCAAUUCUAUUCAACCACGGAAAAAUUGAGGAAUUGAAGGAGUCAAGUUGUAGGUUGGAAUUGGAGCUAUCACUAAGGGCCUUUGAAUCUGCUUUGUUCCAAAUUAAAUGGCGUCUCAAACUUCCAUCAAAGCUUCUUCAUUAAAAGAUCCCCAACAGUAAAAGUCAUGGUAUUAUGGUUUUCUAUCAAUUUCAAUUUCCAUUGGACUUCAUGAAACCGAGUAUAGGUAGUGUCUUAGGCGAGACUUUCGUUUAUGGCUCGACGUUUCAGUCUCGUCUGGUCUCCGACAGAAGUUCCCGGUCAACGUUCCAUUUAGUCCAAUUUUGAGGAAUUUUUAUCAAUACAAAGGUCCAUUUCUUGACAUCUCUCUUAUUACGGUAAUCUUAUAUUUUGAGCUGAUGUUGUUUUUUUAUUUUAUUGUGAUUCUAUGUUAUAUAUAUUUCUUGUGUUAGAUGUGUUUUAAAUUUAAUUUCUUGGACUGAAAUUGCAGCAAUCGACGUGGCUUCUUG